GUCUCAAUUAAAACCAGAGUGGCUUCCUUUCUCAGUGAUUACUAUGGUGGGAAAACACGAUGAUCCUAAGCUUUGUGGUUUUCAAAGAAGUACAUCAGUGGGGGGAGGAGAAAAUGGAGCAGAAGAGAAAUGUUGGCCAGACUUUCCCAGGAUUCCCAGGUUCCUGGAGGGAGAAGAGACUAAGUGCUCCUAUUCCUAACAUCAGG
rnacentral:lncRNA from 1 species